rnacentral:rRNA from 1 species
AACGAACGCUGGCGGCAUGCCUAACACAUGCCGGUCGAACGAGACCUUCGGGUCUAGUGGCGCACGGGUGCGUAACGCGUGGGAACCUGCCCUUAGGUUCGGAAUAACUCCCCGAAAGGGGUGCUAAUACCGGAUAAUGUCUUCGGACCAAAGAUUUAUCGCCUUUGGAUGGGCCCGCGUUGGAUUAGCUAGUUGGUAGGGUAAAAGCCUACCAAGGCGACGAUCCAUAGCUGGUCUGAGAGGAUGAUCAGCCACACUGGGACUGAGACACGGCCCAGACUCCUACGGGAGGCAGCAGUGGGGAAUAUUGGACAAUGGGCGAAAGCCUGAUCCAGCAAUGCCGCGUGAGUGAUGAAGGCCUUAGGGUUGUAAAGCUCUUUUACCCGGGAUGAUAAUGACAGUACCGGGAGAAUAAGCGCCGGCUAACUCCGUG